ACCAAGCCUAGCCCUAUUAAAUCCUAACUCANNAACACACCACAAUAAAACAAACCAUUUGACAAGAGAAAGUAUUGGAGAAAGAAAUCUACUUAAGGAGCUAUAGAGAUAGUACCGUAAGGGAAAGAUGAAAGAUCGCUAAAAAGUAAGAAUAAGCAAAGAUUAAACCUUGUACCUCUUGCAUAAUGGGUUAACUAGAAAACACCUAGCUAAGAGACCUUGAGCUAGAUACCCCGAAACCAAACGAGCUACCUAAGAGCAGUAUGAAGAACCAACCCGUCUAUGUGGCAAAAUAGUGGGAAGACUCCUAGGUAGAGGUGAAAAGCCUAUCGAGCUUGGUGAUAGCUGGUUACCUGAUAAAGAAUUUUAGUUCGACUUUAAGCAUUACCAUAAGAAAUUACAAUCAAAAUGUAAUCUUAAAAUUUAGCCUAAAGAGGGACAGCUCUUCAGGAAUGGAAACAACCUUGUAUAGUGAAUAAACACUCGCCCAAAAACCAUARUUGGCCUAAAGGCAGCCACCAAUAAAGAAAGCGUUAAAGCUCAACAUUGCAAUCCCCUUAAUUCCAUAAUCCUCAAUGAAUUCCUAUAGCACUAAUCAGGUUAAUCUAUAUCUAUAUAGAUGAGAUACUGUUAACAUGAGUAACAAGAACACUGUUCUCCAAGCACAAGCCUAUAACAACCCGGAUAACCAUUGUUAGUUAACAUCUUCAGGCAUAUAAGCCACCCAUANNNNNNNNNNNNNNNUAWAAUGUUAACCCAACACAGGUGUGCAGUAAGGAAAGAUUAAAAGAAGUAAAAGGAACUCGGCAAACAAGAAUCCCGCCUGUUUACCAAAAACAUCACCUCUAGCAUAUAAAGUAUUAGAGGCACUGCCUGCCCAGUGACAAAAGUUCAACGGCCGCGGUAUCCUGACCGUGCAAAGGUAGCAUAAUCACUUGUUCCUUAAUUGGGGACUGGAAUGAAUGGCCUCACGAGGAUUCAACUGUCUCUUACUUCCAAUCAGUGAAAUUGACCUCCCCGUGAARAGGCGGGGAUAAUGCAAUAAGACGAGAAGACCCUAUGGAGCUUCAAUUUCCUGGCUUAACUGACCAACCAAUACCCUAAUGGCCCAAAAAAGUAAAGAAAUAAGCCAGUAAUUUCGGUUGGGGUGACCUCGGAGAACAAAACAACCUCCGAACGAUUUUAGCCAAGACAUACAAGUCUAAGCACUAAAAAUCUAAUUGACCCAAUUCAUUUGAUCAACGGACCAAGUUACCCUAGGGAUAACAGCGCAAUCCUAUUUGAGAGUCCAUAUCGACAAUUAGGGUUUACGACCUCGAUGUUGGAUCAGGACAUCCCAAUGGUGCAGCAGCUAUUAAUGGUUCGUUUGUUCAACGAUUAAAGUCCUACGUGAUCUGAGUUCAGACCGGAGUAAUCCAGGUCGGUUUCUAUCUAUUAACUAUUUCUCCCAGUACGAAAGGACAAGAGAAAUGAGGCCUCCUNNNNNNNNNNNNNNNNNNNNNNNNNNNNNNNNNNNNNNNNNNNNAGUAAGUUAGUUCAACAGCACCCUAGACAAGGGUUU
rnacentral:rRNA from 1 species